rnacentral:rRNA from 1 species
UACGUAGGCAGGCAAGCGUUGUUCGGAGUUACUGGGCGUAAAGGGGUGCGUAGGCGGCUUUUUAAGUUUGGUGUGAAAUCUCCCGGCUCAACUGGGAGGGUGCGCCGAAUACUGAGAGGCUAGAGUGGUGGGAGAGGAAAGUGGAAUUCCUGGUGUAGCGGUGAAAUGCGUAGAUAUCAGGAGGAACACCGGUGGUGUAACGGCUUCUGGACCAUAACUGACGCUGAUGCACGAAAGCGUGGGUAGCAAACAGG